UAGUUGGUGAGGUAAAGGCUCACCAAAGGAGACGAUCAGUAGCUGGUCUGAGAGGAUGAUCAGCCACAUUGGGAAGAGACACGGCCCAAAACUCCUACGGGAGGCAGCAGUGGGGAAUCUUGCGCAAUGGGCGAAAGCCUGACGCAGCCAUGUCGCGUGAAUGAUGAAGGUCUUAGGAUUGUAAAAUUCUUUCACCGGGGACGAUAAUGACGGUACCCGGAGAAGAAGCCCCGGCUAACUUCGUGCCAGCAGCCGCGGUAAUACGAAGGGGGCUAGCGUUGCUCGGAAUUACUGGGCGUAAAGGGAGCGUAGGCGGACAUUUAAGUCAGGGGUGAAAUCCCGGGGCUCAACCUCGGAAUUGCCUUUGAUACUGGGUGUCUUGAGUAUGAGAGAGGUGUGUGGAACUCCGAGUGUAGAGGUGAAAUUCGUAGAUAUUCGGAAGAACACCAGUGGCGAAGGUGACACACUGGCUCAUUAGUGAUGGUGAGGCUUGAAAGCGUGGGGAGCAAACAGG
rnacentral:rRNA from 1 species